GCCCGGUUGGUCUAGUGGUAUGAUUGUCGCUUCGGGAGAAGUUCCCCCAAUGAACGGAAAAAAUCUUGGUAUGUGACAGGUCUCCGGUUCGAUCCCGGAAUCGGGCC